rnacentral:misc_RNA from 1 species
AAAAAAAAAAAAAAAAAAGCUAACAAUCUAUGACAGGCACCUAGCCUGCAUGAGUAACAAACAUUAUGUUUUUACCGCUUAUUCUUUGGAAUGAACAAAUCAAUCAUAUACUCACUAUUUCACUUGUGCAUUGCAGCAACUACGGAGGGGGGAAAAAACUCUAAAAUCAUAAGUAUGAUGAUAUAACCAGCUCAGUUACUUGCUUUUUCCAUAAAUCUUGAAAAUCCAAUCACUAACUCAGUUUCAUUCCAAAACUGAUGCUAUACAAACUUCUGUUAUUUGCCCCCAGCGCAAACAAGAAGCUCAGCAUGUAUAAUGGUUCACAAAAACAAUUGACCUGCAAUCAGAAGAAAUCAAGAGUGAAACCAAAUGGCAUUAACGUAGAAUAUCUAGAUUAAUAUUUUUUGAGUUUCACAAUCAAACCUAUCUAGGAUCAUAUUUCCAGUAAAAUUGUAGGCCACCACAAACAACUUUUCCAUGCAUCAAGUUUUCUUUAAUAAAUACGCUAAAUGCAGCUUUGCAAGUAUAACAGCCGACGCUUAGAACAGUGUUUUGAGAUCCUCAUUGAAGGAAACAUCACAAGCAGUGAGAACAGGAAGAUCCAUAAAUAGUAAACAAAAAUUCCCAGAAGAAUUCCUUCACCCAACAGAAAAGAAAAAUCAGCCCCUAGCUUUUAAGACAACAAAAAAUCUCAAAUAUGAACUUACAGAACUCCAGAACAAAAGUCAUUGAAAAAAAGUCUGUCUAACACGCUCCUCAUUCUCAGUCCUCAAAGAUAAGGAUAGUUAUCAAAAUAGGAUGAAAAUGGUAGAAUAAAACCAAUAUUAUUUGAUCACUUUCGACAAUCCAAUACCCACUUAGCUUAAUGAUUCUCCAAAAACCAUGUCUCUUCCAAAUCUAAAAAGCCAUCUUAAACAACAAUGCCACAUAAUCAAAUGAUCCUGAACCCAAAGUUCGAAAAUCAUUCUCAUUUCUCAUCUGCCUCCGGUUAAAAUGACAUUUGAAGCCAACAUUACACCCAUCCAGUGAAAAAUUAUCAUAUCAAACUCUUCAUCCAAGAUUAAAUACUUCAUGUCAAAGUGAGAUUAGCAAACAACAGGGCUGGAAUUAAAGAAUAGCUUCUUAUAAUAAGAGGACAAGUGAAAUGUAUAUAACACCAGUUAUGUUGUUCUCUAGGUUGUCCCUGACAAUAUUGAAGUACUUCUCUUUCACUCCAACAUGUCACUGUAUAGUACAUUAUAUAAGUGUCAUUUCCCACAUGUAUGUAAAUCAGUGGAUGUUAAAUAAAAUCAUAUCCUGGUAAAGAAUAAGCUUCCUAAAUUUUUGCCAAUUUUCAAUAUAAAUUCUUAUAGAAGUUGAAAUUUGAAUAACAAGUUUAUCAUUCUUUCAAGCAAUUGUAGCUCAGUCUAGUACAACUUAAAUUUGAGGAUAAGUACAUCUAAAUUUCGCUGCAUCAGUGACCCCAGUACAAAUAAUGAGAAGAUAGGAUAAUACUGGAAUUCCUUAAUUCAAAUGGCAGAGUAACAUUGUCGUACCUAUCUUACUUGGUAGAAACAUAGCAUUUGGAAAGAUGAACUACUGAAAACUGAAGCAUUGCCGAUGCUCCUAAAGAAUAAUCAACUAUCAUCAACAAAAAAUCAAACAUUCUCCAACAUAUAAUGAAGUUUUGGAACCCGCCGACGAAACAAUGGCUCCAGCCUGAAAGAUGGACUACCAGUCUCCCACCUCUUAACAUCAUACAUCUCAUUCCACGCCUGUACAAUCUCAUCAAUUUUGAACCCCAAUCCUUCAAGAGCAGUUUCAUUGGAACAAUGGUUCUUUAUCAUAACAGCUAUAUCUGUAGGAGAAGCACCAGCAAGUUCAAACUUUUCAACUGCAACCUCUAAACAUUCUUCCCAAGUUGGUAGCUCUAGCUUAUAUUCCACAACAGAGCGCUCAUAAAGCAUGGUACCCCAUAAGAGGUAUAUUUGUGAACUCAUAUUUGCUGCCUGCUCUGCAGCUUCUUCGGCAGAUACAUCUUUCAAUAGCCCAUCCAACCCGAAUUUCUGCAACUGGGCUUUGUAUUUGUCAAAUUUGGAAAGCCCGUUUAGACGCUGCUCCUCCAUCUCUUCCCACAUCUGCAUACCUUUCUCCAUGCAGUCCUCAGCCUUGUUAUAAAGAUCCAGGACCUCCUCAGAGGGCCCAUUUUCUAAAUCCAGCUUGCUUCCAAUAGCGUGAUACCAACAAAGCUUCGCUUCAUCAAACUGCUGUUGCCCAAGUGCAAGAAGACCUUCAUAGAAGUCUGGUUUAAUUUUUAAAGCUUCUUGGUAUCUUGUUCCUGCCUUGUAAUAUUCUUUCUUUGCCCACUCAUAUGCAUUCUUAACCUGUGCAAGUAUAGAUUCCCUCGAACCAUCUUCAGAAAAGAACACCCGUUUCCUUGCCUUGGACAUAUGAACACUUCCCCAAUUAAACAAAGCCAAAGCUGCCAUUUCUUGGAACUUAUCUGCAGCAAUAUCAAAAACUUCCUGUGCUUCUUCACUUGUCACAGUGUCCUCCAUUGCCUCUGAGUAUAAUUUCAUACCUAGUUCAUGAAGAUCCAAGUAUGAAUCAGAAUCAAAGCCAACAUGGUUCUUGAACAACCGUGCAAAUUGGAUAAUCCAAUCGUCUAUGGAAAUUGGUCCCUUUUCAACAUCUACACCUUUCCCAACAUUCCCAUUCUCAACAGCAUCACUUGGUUUCUUAUCAAUCUUGUGCAGCUCCUCUUCAACUCUCAUCCCCUCAUAAGCUGGUUCUUGAUCAGGCUCAACUUCAACAACAUAGAACCUAAGCGACCCUUGAGAAUCACUUGACGAUUCUACCAGCCUUAGCUCUUCUGUAGUAGUGAUUGUAAUCAAGUCUCCCUCUGAGUCCCUAUAUUUCAUAAGGACACCCUUCAAGCCAGGAUACCUAUCUCUGACUAUAUCCCUCAGCAGUCCAACACUACAAUUCACAGGCAACUGUGCCCACCUGAUAUCCUCCCCAAAGACUAACUUCACUGUCUUGGUAAUCACUUUCUCCUCUUUAACAUCCUUUGUAAGCACCUUCUCUUUUUCAAUAGUUUUCAUUGCCACCUCUUUGUCCUUGAUAACAGAACUCACCUUCUUCUCCUCCACAACUAUCUUAUCCUCGUCCUCUAUCUUCCUCUUCACCUCUUUAUCAUUCUUCUUCUUCUUUUUUACCUUCUCCUUCACCACCUUACGCAAACGGGCGGCACCACUCUGCUCUACAUUAGCCAAACUAAUUAAUUUCUCGUCAAAGUUAAUACCCUUCUCAGUCAUAGCCUUUUUAACGCUCUCCAAUAUCUCCAACGCCGUCAUAUUAUUGGGUUCCAUACUCAAAACAAUAUUAACAUCCCUCAAAGACAAAUCCAAUCUAUUCAAAGCCUCAUAACACCUAGCUCUUUUCAACAAAGCUUUGCUAUACUUGGGCGAAACCUCUAAAGCUAAAUUACACUCAUUGAUAGCUCGAGGAUACUCACCUAGACCCAUUUGCAUAUAGCAAGCGGCCAUGUUGCUUCGAAGAUAAGCGACGUCGAUGUGGUUUCUGGGAAGCAGCUUGACAGCUUUCUCGUACUUUAACAUGGCGCCUUCGUGGUCGCGCUUCUGAAAGAGCUUAUUCCCUUCUUCUUUGAGCUCUUGCGCCAUGUUGAUAAACAUUGCUGUGUCUUCAUCGAAGGCCUUCGAUGUCCGAUCCGUCGUGGGUUUACUCUGCUUACCAUUGGCGUCAACGGCUCUGGGUGAAUUCGGGUUCUUCUUUUUCCCAGUUGGCUUUCCCAUUUGAUAGAUUCUCAGAUAAUAUAGAGAGAAGAAACCCUUCAAAAUCAAAGCUUUAAGUACAAACCCCGAUUCUAAUUUCAAUCAAAACACUCUCUUUAACCAUCAAACAUCCAUCAAAACAGAAGGGAGGGGAAAAAAACUAACUUAUACAAAAUCAUAUAGCUAUAAUAAUUGAAAACAAAAGCCCAAACCAAACCCCAAAACACAAAAACAAAAGAAAAACCUUGUUCUUUCUUGUCUCUCUAUAACCAGAAUAAGACAGAGGUGACGCAGAGAAAGAUUAGCGUUCAAUCUCCAAUCUCUCUCUGUCUUAUCUAAAAAGGUUAUAAAAAAGGAAUGAUUUCUAUCAGGUAGAGUGAGGAUUAUAGAAGGCAUGCGUGCAUGCUAAUGUACAUUAAUGGAGGAUUUGGCUGCAGAGAGAAAUGUGUAGAACGACAAACAUUACAGCGGUUUUCUCUUUCCUAGGGUUUCAAAUUCAAUCGCCCAAGCAGAACAAGGUCAACCCUUCCCAGCCAGGAGAAAUGCCAAAGCACCCUCCUAAGGAGCGCGUGUCUGCACGCCCUGGAACAAUAAUAAUGCUAGAG